rnacentral:rRNA from 1 species
GACGAACGCUGGCGGCAUGCCUAACACAUGCAAGUCGAGCGAGCAGAUCCCUUCGGGGUGAAGCUAGCGGCGGACGGGUGAGUAACACGUGGCAACCUGCCUCAUAGAGGGGAAUAGCCUUCCGAAAGGAAGAUUAAUACCGCAUAAGAUUGUAGCUUCGCAUGAAGCAGCAAUUAAAGGAGCAAUCCGCUAUGAGAUGGGCCCGCGGCGCAUUAGCUAGUUGGUGAGGUAACGGCUCACCAAGGCGACGAUGCGUAGCCGACCUGAGAGGGGGAUCGGCCACAUUGGGACUGAGACACGGCCCAGACUCCUACGGGAGGCAGCAGUGGGGAAUAUUGCACAAUGGGGGAAACCCUGAUGCAGCAAUGCCGCGUGAGUGAUGACGGCCUUCGGGUUGUAAAGCUCUGUCUUCGGGGACGAUAAUGACGGUACCCGAGGAGGAAGCCACGGCUAACUACGUGCCAGCAGCCGCCGUAA